rnacentral:rRNA from 1 species
GGUUGCGAUCAUAACAGCACUAAUGCACCGGAUCCUAUCAGAACUCCGCAGUCAAGCGUGCUUGGGCGAGAUUUGUACUAGGAUGGGUGACCGUCCUUGGGAAGUCCUCGUGUUUGCAACCC